rnacentral:rRNA from 1 species
AUUAGCCAUGCAUGUCUCAGUACAAGCCUCAUUAAGGUGAAACCGCGAAUGGCUCAUUAAAUCAGUUAUGGUUCCUUGGAUCUUACCCACACUUACAUGGAUAACUGUGGUAAUUCUAGAGCUAAUACAUGAACCUCGCGCCCCGACCAGUGAUGGAAGGUGUGCUUUUAUUAGAACAAAACCAAUCGGUCGGCUCGUCCGUCCGUUGCCUUGGUGACUCUGAAUAACUUUGGGCUGAUCGCACGGUCCCAGCACCGGCGACGCAUCUUUCAAAUGUCUGCCUUAUCAACUUUCGAUGGUAGGUUCUGCGCCUACCAUGGUUGUAACGGGUGACGGGGAAUCAGGGUUCGAUUCCGGAGAGGGAGCCUGAGAAACGGCUACCACAUCCAAGGAAGGCAGCAGGCGCGCAAAUUACCCACUCCCGGCACGGGGAGGUAGUGACGAAAAAUAACGAUACGGGACUCAUCCGAGGCCCCGUAAUCGGAAUGAGAACACUUUAAAUCCUUUAACGAGGAUCUAUUGGAGGGCAAGUCUGGUGCCAGCAGCCGCGGUAAUUCCAGCUCCAAUAGCGUAUAUUAAAGUUGUUGCGGUUAAAAAGCUCGUAGUCGGAGGUGUGUCUCGGACGGUCGGUUCGCCGCUUGUCGGUGCUCAACUGGCCGGUCCGGACGUCCUGCCGGUGGGGCCGUAAAAGGCUCCGUUAUCCUUCUUUGGUCCUCUUCAUUGAGUGCCUUGGUGGGCCGGCACGUUUACUUUGAACAAAUUAGAGUGCUCAAAGCAGGCCGUUGGUCGCCUGAAUACUGUGUGCAUGGAAUAAUGGAAUAGGACCUCGGUUCCAUUUUGUUGGUUUUCAGAACUCGAGGUAAUGAUUAAUAGGGACGGACGGGGGCAUUCGUAUUGCGACGUUAGAGGUGAAAUUCUUGGAUCGUCGCAAGACGAACCGAUGCGAAAGCAUUUGCCAAGAACGUUUUCGUUGAUCAAGAACGAAAGUUAGAGGUU